UCAAUUAUGCUAUGGCCGGAGUCCUACUCAUAGUGAUCUGGUCAAAUUGGGAGAAGCUGUAGGUAUUAUUGCAGGUCAAUCAAUUUUGGAGCCAGGGACUCAACUACCAUUAAGAACUUUUCAUACUGGCGGAGCAUCAAGGCGAUACCGAAGACAUUUUUUUUUGUGGAAAAAUACCGAAGCUUUAUUCAUUAGAUAUAAGAAGUACAUCGUUUGUGAGGAUCAUUACAAUUUCAUCUACCGGUUCCUCAAACUGAGCAGAAGUCAAGGAAAAUCUAGGUAAUGUAGCAAGCUCAUGAGUUACUUUAUUUGCUUCUCUAUUACAAUGUUCAAAUCUAGUAAUAAGGAAAUCACAAGCAUAAUGGAAACAAUCGUCGCAGAUUGCUGCUGCCGCACCCGCUGACUGUCAUCCUGCAUCAAGAUGGCAAUGGGGCCCCGAAACCCGCGUCCCCGCGGGUUUUUACCCUAUUAGGGGACGGGGAUGGGCGACUUUCUAUUCCCGUGGGGCUCCUCGUGGGUACAUUAUAAAACCCGGCAUGUUUCGCGGGUUUAAACCCGUUUGAGUACUACCUGAACCCGAAACCCGACAAAACCCGUCAAAAUACAUUAUUUAGCACACACCGAUCCAUCUUGACUCAAGUGGCCCAAAGCUACAGUGCCCGAGCAGCCGAGCCCCACAGCAUCGAGGCCCUGGAGUACAAACCAACCCCUCGCUCGGUCGCUGCAGUGUUGCUCACUCUUUAGGACUCUCUCUCCCACACAACACGAAACCUAAAUCUAAACCUAGGUCCCCCAGCCGUCGCCUGCUGCUGUAAUAUGCUCCUGUUUUUCUUCUAAUUGUUGCUGUGUUUCUUUGACUGCUCGUGGGGACGGGUUCCCCGUGGGUUUUGAAAACCCGAUGGGUUUAGGGGACGGGAAAAAAUGUAACCCCGCGCACGUUAAUGGGGACGGGGACGGGUUUACGAUUUUCUCGUGGGGAUGGGUUUGGGCAAGCAAAACCCGGUGGGUUUCGUCCCCGUUGCCAUCUUGAAUCCUGCAUAGUAUGAAUGACCUCCAGGUUAUCUGAGUUAAUAAUAAGUUGAUGUGUGACAUACGUAUUGUAAUAGAGGCACACAUUUUCAAAGAUAGGCACAUCAUUAUGGUUUUUUUUUCCCGCAAUGUAGACAGGGCAGGAAAAGUCACUCUGGCAUGACAUAUUGACAUGAUUGUAUCUCAUCUACUAGUGACAUGCGUGAUGCAUUUUUGUCUUUUUCAUAAAUAACUGGCUGAACUUUCUUAUGCUAGAGACGAAUUGACUUCCGUUUCUCCUUUGGAAAUCUUGCUGCAAAUGGGUUAUGCCCGAUUGGGACGAUUCUUAAUCAGGGAAAUACAUGUGAGUUCUUAUUAGAGUCUUCCAGCAUUUUCUUAUAUAUUUUUAUUAUCGAUUGAAGGGAUUUACAUCCACUCUAUUUGACAUGAACAAAACAUUAUCAGCAAAAUGAAAUGAGUACAGUCAUACAAAUAGGCAAAUUCGCAAUAUAUCUGGGAUGCAGAUGCCAAUUAUUCGUGAUGAUCCUGAAUUUGUUUAGGCAAGUAGCUGUUGGAGUAUUUGCCCAUUGGACUGGUAUAGAUACAUCUCAUAAUAAUAUAUUUACUGUGAUUGGGAUACAUAGAGGUAGAAUAUUAAGCAAGAAACACCAUGGAACUACCAUAUGCCUCUUGAUCUGAUCUUCUGAGCCUCAACUAUAGCACGAGAAGCUGAGCAUAAUUUAUUCACCUCAUUAGUCAGCAUAUACACGAUGGCGUUUGUAACUCACUUGGAAGUAGCUCAUUUUUGAAAUGCAUCUUGGUAGUGAUCGUGACUCAUGAAAUAGCUCUCUUUAAUUCUUUAUGCCUUCUGCAUCUUUCCAUCCGAAACACUUUUCCAAAGAGAAGUAUGAACCGGUAAGCUGGGGGACUUGGGUCAUAACUGGGGAUUGAUGAUAUGCGACAGAUGUUGGGCAUCCGGUAGUUUAGGGUGUACCAUGGAGCGUGGACCAAAAGUCCAAAACCCACCUUACUAAAAGGACCUUCUUACAGUAUGUUGAUAAGGGAACUACUCCCUCCGUUUACAAAUAUAAGAUGUUCUACCUUUUUUCUGAAUCGGAUGUAUAUAGACACAUUUUAGUGUGCUUGUUCACUCAUUUCAGUCCGUAUGUAGUCCAUAUUAAAAUAUCCAAAACAUCUUAUAUUUGUGAACAGAGGGAAGUACAUUAUUAUUCGGAAGCAAUGGAGAGGAUGAUGGAACUGAUGCAAAGUAACGGAGUACAAAAUGUGGUGAGGUGCCCUGGGCCCUGUCUGAUUUCUUUGUUUAUUAACUCGGUUGUUUGUUUAUCAACUCCCGAAUCUAACAUAUUUUAUUUAUCUAUUGUAGGCACGCAAUUAUACCAGUAGAAUUGGGGGCUUUGAGGAAGUCAGCAGAAACUUUGAAGACAUUGCUACAGAGCUGGCCAAAGGGUUUCCUUUGGUUGUUGAUAUUUUGCCUGGGAGAAGUUUUUAUGAUCUUAUGUAUGGCGAAAUAUACAGGUGUCCAUAUAAUGACAGGACUAAACCAGCCGGACUAACAAUGGCUAUCCACACCGUCGUUCUUGUGGGUGCUGCAAGGGUUGGACCAGAUGAUUACUUCUACUUUUUAAAUAGUUAUGGAGAAGAAUGGUGUUUGAGGAUUGAGAGGGACACGCCGAAGGAAAUUGGAGGUGUAGGUAAACUUAUCGCCAAUGAUAUCUGCAAUGCUCCUUUCAAGUUUUGGAGAAUGUGAUACCUUGUUUUGAGCUCUUAAAAAGGCACUAGAGUUGCAUUGCCUCCUAGCAGGUGAGCCAUUGGUACUUCCAUGCUUCUACUGGAUGAAUGAUUAAGUUUGAUUACUUAGUAUGGAUAAUUGGGCUCUUGGUACUUGUGAGGGAAGGGAUUUAUUUUUCAGUGGAUGUUGUUGGGGUCUCAUUUGUGUGAUCAAUUGAAAGAUCAAAUGUAUAACAGUGAUGAGCAGCAGUUUCAUUCUUUUGCCAUGUAUUAUUCGUGUGAACAAGUGAACAAUUGUUUGUAUGUAUGAAUUCAGUGAUUGGUCCUGUCAAUUAUGCCGUAAUUUGGUAUUCUUAUUCAGUUUCGUAUUUCCAGCUGGAUGGGCCCAAAAUGUUUGACGAAAAAUUAAGGACGCCGAUAAUUGUCACACGUUUGGCACAAUGAACAUUCGCCCACACGACCCUGUGUGGCAUAUCCAGCAGGCAGUCCACACGACUUUGUGUGAGCGAAUAUUAAAACUGCCUACACGUGUGGCACGAGGAGUACCCUACCACACACUCGUUCAACACGAAGGACACACAGCCCACACGCCUCUAUCACAUGAGGCCUUUUUCUCUGUGAAAAAGGAACAAAAAGCCCACUGACAACAAAUUAAAUGAAAAGGCCCAAAUUUUGUUUUCUUUCUUUGACAAAUAAAAAGCCAGAUUUUGCUCAGCUACUAAAAAAUGUCAUCAGCUUUGAAAAUAGCAGAAAAAUUGCCAUUCGAGUUUUUUAACAAUGGCAUAGGUUUAUAAACACAUAUUUAAUCCCCCAAUGAAAUAUGGCAAAUCUGCCAUGACAAAAAAGAAUAUUCAAUAUUGCCAUGUGAAAAAACACAAAUAGUCAAAAAAUUCAUGUGAACACAAAAAUUUGACAGGACAAAUAAAAGAUAAAAAAUGCAAUGGCAUUUUUAAUUAAAAAUGCCAUGGAAGUUUAAUUAAAAUUGCCGUAUUUUGAAGGAUAAUUUUGCCGUGUGUUAGAAAAAAAAAAGUUGAAAAUCAAGUAUGAACAAAGAGAUCUGCCAUGGCAGAUUGGUAUCAAAGAAUUGCCGUGUUUUGUAUGAUGAAUUUAUCAUGUGUGAAAAACACAAAAAGUUGAAAAUUCAAGUAUGAACAAGAAACUUUCCAUGGCAGAUUCAUAUCAAAACUUGCCACGACGAAAUUCACGUAAACUAAAUUUGCAAGGUUAUAAAAGAAGGAAGAAAAUUGGCCAUGCUCCAUAAACUACCGUUACCAUGAAAGAUGCAAUGAGAUCGCCAUGGUCCCGUUUAAAAAAGAAAACUUGCCAUGUUGCAAAAAAAAGAAAUGAAAUUUGCCAUGCCUCGUAAACUACAUUUGCCAUGAUAAACACACUAAGUAUUUUUCGCACAUGGCAAAUUCAUCAUAGAAAACACGGCAGAUUUGUAUCAAAGAGUUGCCGUGUUUUGUAUGAUGAGUUUGCCGUGUGCGAAAAAACACAAAAAGUUGAAGAUCAAAGUAUGAAGAAGAAAAAUUGCCAUGGCAGAUUCACAUCCAAACUUACCAUGGCAGAUUUGUAUCAAAACUUGCCACGGCGAAUUCAAGUAAACUAAAUUUGCCAUGAUUUGAAAACUAAAUCUGCCAUGAUUUGUAAACUAAAUUUGCCAUGAACCAAUAAGCUGAAUUUGCCAUGAUUUGUAAACUAAAUUUGCCAUGAACCAAAAACUAAAUUUGCCAUGAUUAGUAAACUAAAUUUUCCAUGGUGAAUAAACUAAAUUUGCCAUUAUUAACAAACUAAAUUUGCCGUGGUUAAGUUAGAAAAAAAAGCAUACAUAUUGUCAUGGGAGUGUUGACAAAAAACCCUAAAUUUGCCAUGUUUAGAAUAUAAAAAAGUUGUUCAAAAAUUUGCCAUGUUGUUAUUUUUUUUAUCAAAAUUGACAUAUUUUGUGUGAAUGAAAAAUUGCCGUGCAUGUGAAAUACGACGAAAAAUUGCCGUGCAUGUGAAAUACCAUGAAAAAUUGCCGUGCAUGUGAAAUACCACGAAAAAAUGAUCAAAAUUGCCAUGGCAAUGGCUUUUCAGAAAUUGAUGCUUCAAAUUUAUGUUUACACAAAAUUCAGUUUGACAUGGCAAAAAACUAACUCUGACAAUUGAAUAGCAACUUGCCAUGGCAACUAUUCACUAACAACAAAAGAUGAAACCUAUACACCAUUAUAAAAUUACCAUGUCAGUUGAUUAUAAUUUGCCAUGGAAAACAAAUAUGUAAUUAAUAGUGAAUACCCCAUAGUAUAAUAAAUUUGCCAUCUUCAAUGCAAUAAAAUUGCCAUGUGAUAUUUUUAUGAAUUUCCCAUGUCAAAACAAUAAAAUUGCCAUUUGUCAUGCAUACAACAAAAUGUUUAAGUUGCCAUCACACAAAGAUUUCAGAAAAAAUAGUGCCUCAAUCAGAACAGAUCAGGCAAUGAAAAAGACAUAGAGCUAUCUAGUUGCAAACCAGAGCAUGAGAACAAAUGUACUACUAGCAAAACAGCAACUCACCAUCUGAAUCAUUGCCGGGGCUAAGGAACUCCAUGCGCAUUUGGUGGAUCCCGACUUCACCGGUGCAUCCAGGCGUGCACAUUGGCUGGGCUCGCCAUGGGGAUCCUGCUCACCAGUGGCUGUACGGAAGCUCUCCGACGG
rnacentral:lncRNA from 1 species